rnacentral:lncRNA from 1 species
GGCAGAAAGAGACCCAUUGCCUCUUGUAACCAGACACUGGGGCUUUCCAGGAGCCCAGGGAGAGAGCCGAGAAGAAAGGGGGCAGUGUGGUCUAGGAAAAUUCAACUUGUCGCUGAUUUGUGCCUGAUGCUUGCUGUCCGUCAGCAGCCUCCCUUACAAGCCUUUUUUCCUCUCUCUCCUUUUUUUCUCCCCUUGCCUUCUUCUUCAGUGAAGCCUAGGGGAGCCAGUAAAGAUUAAAUGUGCUUUCUCAAAGGCAGCCACUUCAUGCUGCUAUGUCGAAAGGGCUAUUAUUAUUAUUAAUAUGAGAGAGAGAGAGGGAGAGAGAGAGGGAGAGAGAGAGACUAGGUAUGGUGAUGACGGUCUGGCUUUUCGGAGAGCAAAAGGGAGAGAAAAAAGGAGAGACCAUGAGCUGAACCAAGGACUGUGUAUGAGCUGAACCUACAGAGGGAGGGUAGACCUGAAGCUUUCUUCUUUGUACACACUGACACAAGACUGCUGCUGCAUUGAUUCUUGAGCAAGGCGAACAAUGGAAGAAAGCCACUUUUUGUUGUUAAAGUGAGGUAGCAUUUCUGCUGUAGUUAGAAAGAGCAUUGUCUCUCCAGUGUCCCAAAUCACUUCCAUUAAACAGUCAAUGUGAUAACUGUCUGUGACAUGUUCUAUUAUCUUUCUAGUUGUUCUGAUGUUCCUUUCAGCUGGUCCUAUAGCCCCCUUUCUCAGUAAUGUCUCCCCA